rnacentral:pre_miRNA from 1 species
AAUAAACCAAUUUUUCACUUUUUAUUUAUAAUUUUUGACUCUUCGUCUUAUUAAAAAAAUUUUGUGAUAGAUAUUUUUAUUUUUAUUAGAUGAUAAAUCAUGUAUAGUACUUUAUAUGUGACUAAUUUUUUUUCUAAUUUUCUGAAAAUCUUUUAAAUAAAACAGAUGGUCAAACGUUAGACACGGAAACCGGAG